GACGAACGCUGGCGGCGUGCCUAAUACGUGCAAGUUGAGCGCUGAAGGUUGGUACUUGUACCAACUGGAUGAGCAGCGAACGGGUGAGUAACGCGUGGGGAAUCUGCCUUUGAGCGGGGGACAACAUUUGGAAACGAAUGCUAAUACCGCAUAAAAACUUUAAACACAAGUUUUAAGUUUGAAAGAUGCAAUUGCAUCACUCAAAGAUGAUCCCGCGUUGUAUUAGCUAGUUGGUGAGGUAAAGGCUCACCAAGGCGAUGAUACAUAGCCGACCUGAGAGGGUGAUCGGCCACAUUGGGACUGAGACACGGCCCAAACUCCUACGGGAGGCAGCAGUAGGGAAUCUUCGGCAAUGGACGAAAGUCUGACCGAGCAACGCCGCGUGAGUGAAGAAGGUUUUCGGAUCGUAAAGCUCUGUUGGUAGAGAAGAACGUUGGUGAGAGUGGAAAGCUCAUCAAGUGACGGUAACUACCCAGAAAGGGACGGCUAACUACGUG
rnacentral:rRNA from 1 species